UGGGGAAUAUUGGGCAAUGGGGGAAACCCUGACCCAGCAACGCCGCGUGAAGGAAGAAGGCCUUCGGGUUGUAAACUUCUUUUAGUCAGGGACGAAGGACGUGACGGUACCUGCAGAAAAAGCAACGGCUAACUACGUGCCAGCAGCCGCGGUAAUACGUAGGUUGCAAGCGUUGUCCGGAAUUACUGGGUGUAAAGGGAGUGUAGGCGGGAAUGCAAGUCAGAAGUGAAAACUAUGGGCUUAACCCAUAGCCUGCUUUUGAAACUGUAUUUCUUGAGUGAAGCAGAGGCAAGCGGAAUUCCUAGUGUAGCGGUGAAAUGCGUAGAUAUUAGGAGGAACACCAGUGGCGAAGGCGGCUUGCUGGGCUUUUACUGACGCUGAGGCUCGAAAGCGUGGGGAGCAAACAGGAUUAGAUACCCUGGUAGU
rnacentral:rRNA from 1 species